AAUCAACAGUAAACCAUUGUUCAAUCAACAGUAAACCAUUGUUCAAUCAACAGUAAACCAUUGUUCAAUCAACAGUAAACCAUUGUUCAAUCAAUCAACAGUAAACCAUUGUUCAAUCAAUCAACAGUAAACCAUUGUUCAAUCAAUAAACAGUAAACUAUUGUUCAAUCAAUCGUAAACCAUUGUUCAAUCAAUCAACAGUAAACUAUUGUUCAAUCAACAGUAAACUAUUGUUCAAUCAAUCAACAGUAAACCAUUGUUCCAUCUCAGGAUCUUGACACUGUCUCUAUUCCAAAAAUAAUGGAUAGGAGGGUGCUGUUCCCAGGUCAGGGAGGGGGCAAACACACUGUCUAGUCCUAAUAUAAUGGAUAGGAGGGUGCUGUACCCAGGUCAGGGAGGGGGCAAACACACUGUCUAGUCCUAAUAUAAUGGAUAGGAGGGUGCUGUACCCAGGUCAGGGAGGGGGCAAACACACUGUCUAGUCCUAAUAUAAUGGAUAGGAGGGUGCUGUUCCCAGGUCAGAGGAGAAGAAAAUAAAUACGAACAAGUGUACAUUGUAAUUAAUCAAUGAAUGAAUCGGUCAAUCAAUGAAUGAAUAAAUAAAUACACCCCCCGAAGUGCUCUCCUCACAUAUCAACACGGUCUCCAGUGAGGCAGUACAUUGAGAGCAAUACAUUCCUAGGCACCAGGGCAAUAAUACAUUGAGUGAAACAGUAGGAUAAGUAAAGGUUGGACUACGGUGUCUAAAUCCCCUCACUGUGUUUGUUUUGGUGCAGGGGUUAUGUUUCAGCAGUGGGCAUGAAUAAGGAGGUGACGGUUCACAUUCUUCUAUCGGGGGGGGCGCUUUCUUUAUUAGGUAUCCUAAUAUAUGUCUGAGUUCUCUUGUUCUCUUCACGGUAUCAACAUUGUAAACGUUAAGUUCUGUGACUCCCCAGGCCUGAAGAUUAGUUUUAAAAAAAAAAUAUGAUUCUAGAAUAGUCUUGACACCUAUUUCAUCCCUACUCGGGUAGCAUUACAAAGGGUUGUGGGAAAAUCAAUAACUACCUUGAAGUUCUCACUUUGAGUUUUUUUUUUUUUCUUCUCUUCUCCCUGGGACUCUCUUCUGACAUCAGGGAUUCAAAGGUGUUUCACUGUGCCUUUGUAAGCCCACUAUGGAGAGCUGUUGCUCCAGCUAUUGAAGGUAUGUUCUGAUGCUAGCUCACUUGGCUCCAACUUGGACUAGUAUUUGGCUCAUUUAGGUGGGUCAGGAUGGAAUGUUUCACCCGUAUUCACAAGGGUAGUGCUUCUCAAUUUUUUUGGGAGACGGGUGAGGAACAUAUUCACAAAUGUUUAACUCUACACUAACCGUCAAGACACAGCACACUCCAAACAUUAUGAAGAUUAUGGUCAUUUGUACUCAUGUUUACAGUGUUUUGUAAGACUACAAGACUAGAUUUUCCACUACCCGCCAAACACAUACAUGUUCUUUUAAGAAGUGCAUUGUCUCACACGAAAAAUACAUUUCAAAAUAAAAGUAGUGUUCUGAUCACUGGUUAACCACAAUACCAGCACACCCACGUCGUCCUGGUUCUGAAAACAAGACCAGAUUGUUUCGGUAGUAGUAACCUUUUAAACACAGGCGGCAUAGAAGUCCAUUUUUUUUUAAAAUCAUGGUUGGGAGUGGACACAUCAUACAUCAUAUGACACGAUUUGAAUGACAACGGAGCAGUCGUUGAGUCAUUUGGAGGAACGUAUAUAUUUACAAUGAAGUGUUUGACCAUCAUAAUGAACCUGCAAGGUCUACAAGUGCAAAUUCGUAUUGAUCUUCUUUGUUUUUUUAAACUUGACAGGGAUGUGUAAGUGUUCACCGCCAUUACCAGAUACGAGGGUAUCCUGGUCCCAGACAGGCCUCUGUGCUCUUGUCAACUUCAUUGCUGUCAAACGGCAUGACUAUGAGCGACGGGGAGAUGGCAUGAUAGCACAAACACACUGGCUAGGACAAGGGUAGUCUUUGAACUAUUUUAUGAUGCUUUAAAUACAGAACACAAACAAUAGUCAUAGACUAUCCAAAUAAAUGGAAAUACAUGGUCUAGAUGCUCUACAGAUGGUCAUACAAUCAACAGACUGUUGAUAAGCAACUGCUUGCUAAGGUUACGGUUAGGGUAGGGGUUGGGGUAGGGGUUAGGGUAGGGGUAGGGGUUAGGGUAGGGUAGGGGUUAGGGUAGGGGUUAGGGUAGGGGUUAGGGUUUAGGGUAGGGGUUAGGGUAGGGUAGGGGUUAGGGUAGGGGUUAGGGUAGGGUAGGGGUUAGGGUAGGGGUUAGGGUAGGGGUUACAAUAGAUGUUAGGGUAGGGGUUAGGGUAGGGGUUAGGUUUACAAUAGGGGUUAUGGUAGGGGUUAGGUUUAGAAUAAGGGUUAGGGUAGGGGUUAGGUUUACAAUAAGGGUUAGGGUAGGGGUUAGGUUUAGAAUAAGGGUUAGGGUAGGGGUUA
ensembl:lncRNA